ACGCAUGUUGCAACCCCGGGCUUCUCCGAAUAAUCCAUGAGGUGAAAGCCCCAUUGCACAUGCAAAAUCGACGCCGUUCGUGUUGCAGUUCAUCUCACUAAUUCAUCGAUUGAUUUGUGUCAAAGUAAUGGCAACAUUU